AGUUGUAGAAUCACUGGUGAAUAAGGGGUGGGCAAGUUCUGGUGUCAGCCGCCGCGGUAAAACCAGCACCUCGAGUGGUCAGGAGGUUUAUUGGGCCUAAAGCAUCCGUAGCCGGUUGCAUAAGUUUUCGGUUAAAUCUAUGCGCUUAACGUAUAGGCCGCCGAAAAUACUGUGCAGCUAGGGAGUGGGAGAGGUACACGGUACUCGAUAGGAAGGGGUAAAAUCCUUUGAUCUAUUGAUGACCACCUGUGGCGAGGGCGGUGUACCAGAACACGUUCGACGGUGAGGGAUGAAAGCUGGGGGAGCAAACCGGAUUAGAUACCCGGGUAGUCCCAGCUGUAAACGAUGCAGACUCGGUGAUGCAUUGGCUUGUGGCCAAUGCAGUGCCGCAGGGAAGCCGUUAAGUCUGCCGCCUGGGAAGUACGUACGCAAGUAUGAAACUUAAAGGAAUUGGCGGGGGAGCACCACAAGGGGUGAAGCCUGCGGUUCAAUUGGAGUCAACGCCAGAAAUCUUACCUGGGGAGACAGCAGAAUGAAGGUCAAGCUGAAGACUUUACCAGACACGCUGAGAGGUGGUGCAUGGCCGUCGCCAGCUCGUGCCGUGAGAUGUCCUGUUAAGUCAGGUAACGAGCGAGACCCCUGCGUCUAGUUGCUACCAUUACUCUCUGGAGCAGUGGAGCGAAUUAGACGGACCGCCACAGUUAAUGUGGAGGAAGGAAGGGGCCACGGCAGGUCAGUAUGCCCCGAAACCCUAGGGCUACACGCGGGCUGCAAUGGUAUUGACAAUGUGUUCCGAAUCCGAAAGGAGGAGGCAAUCAUCAAACAUAUCUCAGUUAUGACUGAGGGC
rnacentral:rRNA from 1 species